GCGGUCGUGGCGGAACUGGUAGACGCGCUACCUUGAGGUGGUAGUUCCGAGAGGAGUGGAGGUUCGAGUCCUCUCGACCGCA
rnacentral:tRNA from 1 species